rnacentral:sRNA from 1 species
AAGUGGGAGCACCGCGGUUUCGGGGAAGAGACCGGGGUUGAGCGUCUAGCCCAGCUCAGCGUGACUUCCGCCAGCGUUUAGAACGUUUUCGGGGUCCGAGUUGAAGAGCAAAACCAAGUGAAGGAAACUUCACUAAGUUCAGGGUGACAAGGGAGGAAGUACAGAGUGAACUAUUGGCAUGGCUCAAUCCAUUGACCUGUUUUGGUUCCUGAUGAAGUUUUGUUAAUUUAAAUGAGAAAAAUAAGGACAGUGAAAAACAGAGCGCUUAAAAAGCACUGUCUGGAUAUCUUCAGAGGGAAAAAGGAGAAAGUUAACUGAAUUGGUGACACUUCGGGUCUCUCACAGAGGAAGGGCCAAGGAGAUUAAGAUCAAGUUGGGAAUUCUCCUCCAGAAGCCAGACUCAGUUGGUGACCUUGUCAUUCCGUACAAUGAGAAGCCAGAGAAACCAGCCAAGACCCAGAAACCCUCGCUGGACGAGUCCCUGCAGUGGCGUGAUUCCCUGGACAAACUCCUGCAGAACAACUAUGGACUUGCCAGUUUCAAAAGUUUCCUGAAGUCUGAAUUCAGUGAGGAAAACCUUGAGUUCUGGAU